GACCCCAUCGUCCAGCCGGCCUAGGACACCAGCCUUUCACGUUGGUGACACGGGUUCAAAUCCCGUUGGGGUCGCCA
rnacentral:tRNA from 1 species